GACGAACGCUGGCGGCGUGCUUAACACAUGCAAGUCGAACGGAAAGGCCCCUUUUUUGUUACUCGCUUGGCUAACGGGUGUGUAACUCGUGCGUAACCUACCUUUCCCUUCCUUUUAACUUCCUUCAACUGGCUCUAAUUCCUACUAGGUAUCCUUUCUUCCUGCUUGGUGUUGGUAGGCUUCUGCGGUUUUGGAUGGACUCGCGGCUUAUCAGCUUGUUGGUGGGUUAGUGGCUUACCAAGGCUUUGACGGGUAGCCGGCCUGAGAGGGCGACCGGCCACAUUGGGACUGAGAUACGGCCCAGACUCCUACGGGAGGCAGCAGUGGGGAAUAUUGCACAAUGGGCGGAAGCCUGAUGCAGCAACGCCGCGUGCGGGAUGACGGCCUUCGGGUUGUAAACCGCUUUCAGCAGGGACGAAGCUUGAGUGACGGUAACGGGAGAAGAAGCACCGGCUAACUACGUG
rnacentral:rRNA from 1 species